GGACGAACGCUGGCGGCGUGCUUAACACAAGCAAGUCGAACGGAAAGGCCCUGCUUUUGUGGGGUGCUCGAGUGGCGAACGGGUGAGUAACACGUGAGUAACCUGCCCUUGACUUUGGGAUAACUUCAGGAAACUGGGGCUAAUACCGGAUAGGAGCUCCUGCUGCAUGGUGGGGGUUGGAAAGUUUCGGCGGUUGGGGAUGGACUCGCGGCUUAUCAGCUUGUUGGUGGGGUAGUGGCUUACCAAGGCUUUGACGGGUAGCCGGCCUGAGAGGGUGACCGGCCACAUUGGGACUGAGAUACGGCCCAGACUCCUACGGGAGGCAGCAGUGGGGAAUAUUGCACAAUGGGCGGAAGCCUGAUGCAGCAACGCCGCGUGCGGGAUGACGGCCUUCGGGUUGUAAACCGCUUUCGCCUGUGACGAAGCGUGAGUGACGGUAAUGGGUAAAGAAGCACCGGCUAACUACGUG
rnacentral:rRNA from 1 species